AUGGCAGCGGGUGGAGCUAUUACCAAUAAGACACUUGAUGAUGCUUUUCUGCUGAUUGAGAGCAUAGCUUUCCACCAACUUCAGUGGUACAAUAAGAAGCCCACCUCUGAUUCAUUGGUUUGCUUGCAACAAAUCACUACACCUCAGCCACCAAUUCUUACACAAAAACCUGAACCUCUAUCUCAGUGUGACAGGAUUGAGCUUGCAUGGAUUAUAUUUGAUGAUGAUGACACCAUUCUAGUUGACACACACGCCACAGAUCAUAUGGAUACUAGUGUUGGAGAUUCAGUUUUGCAUUGUGAUGAUUCUUCCAUGGAUGAGCCAGAGCUGCAGUUAGUUGCUUUCGAUAUUGAGGAGUCACCUUUAGUUGAUAUUGAUCAUGUGCUACUAGAGCCAGAUAUGGAGAAGUUCGCCUUCGAUGAUGUUAGCCGCAUUGAUUCCUCAACACUUGAGCCUGAGAUGGAGAGCUUCAUGGUUGAUUAUGGUGAGCUGGAUUUAGAUGUCAAGGAGCCAAGCUCUACUAUUUCACUUGUUGACACGAGUCCAAUGGAAAUUUCUACUACCACACCUCACUUGGUAUCUUCAAUUGAGGUAGUCCUGAAGCUUCUUCCUAACUAUCUCAGGUAUGAUCUCAGCUUUCUUGACAAGAUAUGCCAUAUCAUGGAUACUGCCUAUGCACCAUGUGACUUGUUGUUGAUACACGUUCCUGAUUUGCUCAAUAGAUAUGCUUAUAUGAUAGGGUACUCUAUCGAUAACUUAGAGGGCAUUCUCUCUGUCACUUGUAUUGGCUUGGUUGUUGAGUGUUCUUUCAGGUUUACACUUGUGCACCAUUUACGAUGA
rnacentral:rRNA from 1 species